rnacentral:rRNA from 1 species
GGGUUGUGAGGUUAAGCGACUAAGCGUACACGGUGGAUGCCCUGGCAGUCAGAGGCGAUGAAGGACGUGCUAAUCUGCGAUAAGCGUCGGUAAGGUGAUAUGAACCGUUAUAACCGGCGAUUUCCGAAUGGGGAAACCCAGUGUGUUUCGACACACUAUCAUUAACUGAAUCCAUAGGUUAAUGAGGCGAACCGGGGGAACUGAAACAUCUAAGUACCCCGAGGAAAAGAAAUCAACCGAGAUUCCCCUAGUAGCGGCGAGCGAACGGGGAGCAGCCCAGAGCCUGAAUCAGUGUGUGUGUUAGUGGAAGCGUCUGGAAAGGCGCGCGAUACAGGGUGACAGCCCCGUACACAAAAAUGCACAUGCUGUGAGCUCGAUGAGUAGGGCGGGACACGUGGUAUCCUGUCUGAAUAUGGGGGGACCAUCCUCCAAGGCUAAAUACUCCUGACUGACCGAUAGUGAACCAGUACCGUGAGGGAAAGGCGAAAAGAACCCCGGCGAGGGGAGUGAAAAAGAACCUGAAACCGUGUACGUACAAGCAGUGGGAGCACGCUUAGGCGUGUGACUGCGUACCUUUUGUAUAAUGGGUCAGCGACUUAUAUUCUGUAGCAAGGUUAACCGAAUAGGGGAGCCGAAGGGAAACCGAGUCUUAACUGGGCGUUAAGUUGCAGGGUAUAGACCCGAAACCCGGUGAUCUAGCCAUGGGCAGGUUGAAGGUUGGGUAACACUAACUGGAGGACCGAACCGACUAAUGUUGAAAAAUUAGCGGAUGACUUGUGGCUGGGGGUGAAAGGCCAAUCAAACCGGGAGAUAGCUGGUUCUCCCCGAAAGCUAUUUAGGUAGCGCCUCGUGAAUUCAUCUCCGGGGGUAGAGCACUGUUUCGGCAAGGGGGUCAUCCCGACUUACCAACCCGAUGCAAACUGCGAAUACCGGAGAAUGUUAUCACGGGAGACACACGGCGGGUGCUAACGUCCGUCGUGAAGAGGGAAACAACCCAGACCGCCAGCUAAGGUCCCAAAGUCAUGGUUAAGUGGGAAACGAUGUGGGAAGGCCCAGACAGCCAGGAUGUUGGCUUAGAAGCAGCCAUCAUUUAAAGAAAGCGUAAUAGCUCACUGGUCGAGUCGGCCUGCGCGGAAGAUGUAACGGGGCUAAACCAUGCACCGAAGCUGCGGCAGCGACGCUUAUGCGUUGUUGGGUAGGGGAGCGUUCUGUAAGCCUGCGAAGGUGUGCUGUGAGGCAUGCUGGAGGUAUCAGAAGUGCGAAUGCUGACAUAAGUAACGAUAAAGCGGGUGAAAAGCCCGCUCGCCGGAAGACCAAGGGUUCCUGUCCAACGUUAAUCGGGGCAGGGUGAGUCGACCCCUAAGGCGAGGCCGAAAGGCGUAGUCGAUGGGAAACAGGUUAAUAUUCCUGUACUUGGUGUUACUGCGAAGGGGGGACGGAGAAGGCUAUGUUGGCCGGGCGACGGUUGUCCCGGUUUAAGCGUGUAGGCUGGUUUUCCAGGCAAAUCCGGAAAAUCAAGGCUGAGGCGUGAUGACGAGGCACUACGGUGCUGAAGCAACAAAUGCCCUGCUUCCAGGAAAAGCCUCUAAGCAUCAGGUAACAUCAAAUCGUACCCCAAACCGACACAGGUGGUCAGGUAGAGAAUACCAAGGCGCUUGAGAGAACUCGGGUGAAGGAACUAGGCAAAAUGGUGCCGUAACUUCGGGAGAAGGCACGCUGAUAUGUAGGUGAAGUCCCUCGCGGAUGGAGCUGAAAUCAGUCGAAGAUACCAGCUGGCUGCAACUGUUUAUUAAAAACACAGCACUGUGCAAACACGAAAGUGGACGUAUACGGUGUGACGCCUGCCCGGUGCCGGAAGGUUAAUUGAUGGGGUCAGCGCAAGCGAAGCUCUUGAUCGAAGCCCCGGUAAACGGCGGCCGUAACUAUAACGGUCCUAAGGUAGCGAAAUUCCUUGUCGGGUAAGUUCCGACCUGCACGAAUGGCGUAAUGAUGGCCAGGCUGUCUCCACCCGAGACUCAGUGAAAUUGAACUCGCUGUGAAGAUGCAGUGUACCCGCGGCAAGACGGAAAGACCCCGUGAACCUUUACUAUAGCUUGACACUGAACAUUGAGCCUUGAUGUGUAGGAUAGGUGGGAGGCUUUGAAGUGUGGACGCCAGUCUGCAUGGAGCCGACCUUGAAAUACCACCCUUUAAUGUUUGAUGUUCUAACGUUGACCCGUAAUCCGGGUUGCGGACAGUGUCUGGUGGGUAGUUUGACUGGGGCGGUCUCCUCCUAAAGAGUAACGGAGGAGCACGAAGGUUGGCUAAUCCUGGUCGGACAUCAGGAGGUUAGUGCAAUGGCAUAAGCCAGCUUGACUGCGAGCGUGACGGCGCGAGCAGGUGCGAAAGCAGGUCAUAGUGAUCCGGUGGUUCUGAAUGGAAGGGCCAUCGCUCAACGGAUAAAAGGUACUCCGGGGAUAACAGGCUGAUACCGCCCAAGAGUUCAUAUCGACGGCGGUGUUUGGCACCUCGAUGUCGGCUCAUCACAUCCUGGGGCUGAAGUAGGUCCCAAGGGUAUGGCUGUUCGCCAUUUAAAGUGGUACGCGAGCUGGGUUUAGAACGUCGUGAGACAGUUCGGUCCCUAUCUGCCGUGGGCGCUGGAGAAUUGAGGGGGGCUGCUCCUAGUACGAGAGGACCGGAGUGGACGCAUCACUGGUGUUCGGGUUGUCAUGCCAAUGGCACUGCCCGGUAGCUAAAUGCGGAAGAGAUAAGUGCUGAAAGCAUCUAAGCACGAAACUUGCCCCGAGAUGAGUUCUCCCUGACUCCUUGAGGGUCCUGAAGGAACGUUGAAGACGACGACGUUGAUAGGCCGGGUGUGUAAGCGCAGCGAUGCGUUGAGCUAACCGGUACUAAUGAACCGUGAGGCUUAACCUUACAACGCCGAAGGUGUUU